GGAUAGAUAUUCAAAUUGGCUGAAGAAGGGUGAAUGUAAAUCACUUACAUAAAAAACACUGUAGGUUCAAGUCCUACUCUAUCCACCA
rnacentral:tRNA from 1 species